rnacentral:rRNA from 1 species
AGAGUUUGAUUCUGGCUCAGGAUGAACGCUGGCGGCGUGCUUAACACAUGCAAGUCGAACGGAGUUUUAACGGAAGUUUCGGAUGGAAGUUUAGAAACUUAGUGGCGGACGGGUGAGUAACGCGUGGGUAACCUGCCUCAUACAGGGGGAUAACAGUUAGAAAUGACUGCUAACACCGCAUAAUAUAGCGAAACCGCAUGAUUUUGCUAUCAAAUAUUUAUAGGUAUGAGAUGGGCCCGCGUCUGAUUAGCUAGUUGGUGGGGUAAAAGCCUACCAAGGCGACGAUCAGUAGCCGGCUUGAGAGAGUGACCGGCCACAUUGGGACUGAGACACGGCCCAAACUCCUACGGGAGGCAGCAGUGGGGAAUAUUGGACAAUGGGGGAAACCCUGAUCCAGCGAACCGCCGCGUGAGUGAAGAAGUAUUUCGGUAUGUAAAGCUCUAUCAGCAGGGAAGAUAAUGACAGUACCUGACUAAGAAGCCCCGGCUAACUACGUGCCAGCAGCGGC